UACGUAGGGGGCGAGCGUUGUCCGGAAUUAUUGGGCGUAAAGAGCUCGUAGGCGGCUUGGCAAGUCGGAUGUGAAAACUCCAGGCUCAACCUGGAGCCGCCAUUCGAUACUGCUAUGGCUAGAGUCCGGUAGGGGAGUGUGGAAUUCCCGGUGUAGCGGUGAAAUGCGCAGAUAUCGGGAGGAACACCGAUGGCGAAGGCAGCACUCUGGGCCGGCACUGACGCUGAGAGCGAAAGCGUGGGAGCGAACGAGGAGAUUGAUAUC
rnacentral:rRNA from 1 species